ACAAAGGCCGAAGGUGAUGUAGUGAGCUGGACUGGAAGGAAGGUAGCCGCUGCCCUCGCCGGCGCCGCCGGCGGAGGAGGGAGUAGCCGUGCGCCGUCGCAUUAUCUAUUUGCCCCUCUCCCCGCAUCCGUUACCUCAAAUGCCCACCACCGCGCCGGGCCGUACCUCCCCUCUGUCCCGUCUGACGGAGAAGUGGGGGCGGGGGUGUUGCCGGAGUUAGAUGCGGCGCGAGACAGGGCCGCUCCACCGGCGGCCUCAGGGAGCGCGCCUGCCACGUUCCUUGGGAUGUUUGGGGCGGCGAGUCCCGCACUCCAGCCUUCUCGUGUCCAUGUGAGAUGUGACGUCCUCGCCGCCUUAGCCGGGGCAAGUUGAGCUUAAACAAGGGAAGCAUCUGACCGCCUACUGCACCCAUUAAUGGCAUGGAUCGCCAUUUGUGCUUGCAGUUGAAUACCAAUAGUGGCUAGGCUCUAGAGGAAGAAGAAAGAUCCAGUGCGGGGAGCUCGACUCAGCUGAGGAAAUGAGUAAUCACAAGGUUAAUGAUUACUGCAAGCUGUUCAAGACCGAGAAUCAUCUUGGGAAUGCUACAGUGACGAGCUUGUUACAUUAUGCAAGAUACUUGUCGAAGAGCUCAAGGGGAACAGUGACCCGGAUAGAAGUAUUUGUAUUACUGACUGCUGCUCUCUUCCUGUUUCUUGCUACCUUUGGAGCAUAUCGUCGCCAGCACAAAAACUUGUUCAUCCUGAAAGUUGUUUUUGGCAUGUGUACCUUAUCCUCCUCACUGAUAACAUACAUAUUCGGUUCAAUGCAAUCUUCUGCAGUGAAGAGCAGCAUGUACUCCAUAUGGGCCAUAUCUCUCUUCCUCCUUUAUGGUUCUACUGACGCUAUGGCGGCUUCUAGUCUCGAUGACACCAGACAGAGCAUUUUAAUAUACACAUACCAUACUUCACUCUGGUAUGUGUAUGUGGUGUUGCUUUUGUUAUCAGUAACAUCAAGUGAUGGUGCCUUUCAUGUUAGCAUGUCGAUUGAUGAUAGUCAUCUAAAAGGUUUACUUACCUGCCCAGUUAUUUUUCUACAUUUCAUUGCUGUACUAAAAUCCUUACAGAGAGUAGCGGUGUGUGUGAUGGCAAGCAACUCAUGGAAACUGAAUAAAAUGGUUGCUGAUUACAUGUAUGACGAGCACACCAGGGGUGAAUUUGUUCCUGCCACCAUGGAAGGUUGCCAUUACCUGGUUGAUUGGCCCCUCAGCAAAUCCAAGCUUGGUACUUCAUCAUUUGCAACAGUAUUAACAGCAGAGGAUGAUGAAGUCAUUGACAUUGAGAAGAUAUGGCAGUGCAAUGAUAGUUCAAUAGGCCUAGAGCUAAAAUAUGCAUGCCUUUCCUUCUCCCUUUUUCAUCUGUUGAGAAGGCGCUACUUUGGGCUUGCCUGUUGUGAAUCCAAAGAAAGGGCACAUGAUUUUGUCUUCAAGGGGCUGCUAUCAGAGAAUGCUACAGACUGCAAUAGGAUUUUCAGGGUUAUUGAGAUAGAGUUGGCCUUCAUGUAUGAUUGCUUCUUCACCAAGUAUGCUGUCAUUUAUUAUGCAUCAACGGCUGCAACAUUUUGGUCCUUGGCUUCAGUCAUCUGCAUUUCUCUUACAGCAUACACAGUAGCCACCCGUCUGUUGAUCAUUCGAUGUGAUCAGGAUGAGCCCCUUCUUGUGAACACCAAAACGGAGGUUGUGAUCACCUUAUCACUACUUGCAUGCGCUGCUUUGCUUGAAUUGCUGCAGUUGUUACAUUAUUGGACAGCCAUUUGGGCGAGAGUAUCCUAUGUUUGUCAGUUUAUCAGACAGCAAUCAGUAUUGGACAGAAGGGGGUGCCACUGCUUGAUGAGAUUAAAAGAGCUUCUUACCAAGAUUGGUGUUUAUUGUGCGUCAGACAAACACUACUGGCAACACAAGCUUGGGCAGUACUCCUUGCUUGAAUCAGUCAGCUGCAAUUCUAACCCUUCCAAGAAAGAGCAUAGAGUAAUCAACAAAUUCGGGGAAUUUAUAUACUCAGCAGUCAGAUGGUUUACUCUUUUUGAUAGAGCACACAUGCACCGAACUAGUUAUGAUGCAUCAGUGAUCUGCAUGAAACCUGGUAAACCCAUCGAGUUGCCUACAGAAGUAAAGGAGGCAAUUGUCCAUUCCCUUGAACAUACUGAUGGCAAACUAACAAAUGGGAAUUCAUCGUUGGUGUCAAAUGGAGCAGAGCACCUCCUAUGGGCUUGUGGACAGGACAUCUACCCAAAUAUAAGCCGCUUCCUGGGAAAGGAGAACCAGACGCACCUUAUCAUGACUUGGCACAUAGCAACAUGUUACUGUGAGAUGACAACAAUGAAAAACCUUCGCUCAGAUGAUGAAGAAAAACUCAGGCCCCAUCUUGACGUUGCCACGAAACUAUCAAAAUACUGUGCGUACUUGGUGGUCUCUGCACGAAAGCUUCUUCCUGGCCACCGAUAUGAUACACUGUCUGUGCUUGAUGCAGUUGCAGUGGAAGCAACCAAAUUCCUGAAAAAUUCGAGGGACAGGUAUGAAGUGAUGAGGAAUUUAGCAGAAUCAGAGGAGACCAUCUUCGAGGGCGGCACCAAGCUGGGGAAGCAGCUCGAGGAGAUUGAAGAUGUGACACACCGUUGGAAGGUGCUGGCUGAUUUCUGGGCAGAGAUGUUGCUCUACCUUGCGCCAUCAGAUAAUGUUAAGGAGCACAUCGAGGAGCUCGGGAAUGGUGGGGAGUUCAUCACGCACCUGUGGGCUUUACUCACUCAUGCGGGCAUCCUUGAGAGGCAGGAGGAUCAUCAAGUUGGAAGCGUGUAACACUGCACCACCCUUUUAUUCUUCAUGGUGCGGGACUAUCACAUGUGUUAUAUGUCCGACUUCACACAGAAGAUGUUAAGAACUGACCGCAGAAGAUCUUCAAUGGUUGGCCCAAACGAUUACCAGUGCAAACUGUGUGCAUGAUAUUGUUCCCAGUAAAUCAUGCCAAAUGUAUCUUAUGUUUGAUCAUCACAUCUAUUACAUGUCUGGCUUCACACUGAAAAUAUUCAGAACUGACCACAGAAUAUCUUCAUUGGUUGGGGGAAACAGUUACCACUGUAAAUUUGUGUAUGAUUGAGUCAUAAUAGAUGCAUCUUAUCAUGGCAUGUGCAGGUGGACCGAAAGAGGCAGUUGCUCAGAAUAUCUUCAUGAUGGUUUGAUAUGUGAAACUGAUGCACCAAAGGUAAUGCUUAUAUGGGAGCAACCGAGCAAGGACUUCAGGAACCAGGCUACUCUGUUGGCAAAUAGUUCAUGCAGCAAUAUGCCGUUUUUGACAGCUGAAUGGAAUGUCUUCCCUUCGUCAUAUGCCUGCCUGCCUAACGAAGUAACGAGUAACGAUGAUGGAUUGUAUGAAGGCCCUUCCCUGCUGCGGAUUCUGAGCAACCGCAUGCAAACUGCAGCUAAGCCGGGAGGAGGCGCGGGAAGUGACCCCCAGUCUCUGUUUCUGAAAUCCUUCUGGGGUCAUGGAGAUACAGUAUGUACCGCAUCUUACACAAGCUCGAGAGUGAAUGCGCAUAUUGAGCUCACAUCAUCCAGCCACACAAAACGGUGCUGAGCUAGGAUUGAAAACCCCCGAAAAUGAUGACAGCGGAAAGCAUAUUCCCCAUUCCCCCUUCGCCAUACGACGGUGAUUUACAACAACAACAACAA